UUUGGAAUUGUGUAUGGUGAUUUUGGUGUUGGUGUAAGGAAGCAAGGCUUUGCUCUGGAUUGGGUACUAUCAGGAAGCAGGGGUCAUUCUGGGUAGAGGAUCUUAAAUCUUAGCUAGGAGAGAAGACUAGAGCCACACCAAAUCUAUAAUUAGUAAAGAAGCAGCUCUCCAAUUAGCCAGGAGAGAGGAAUGUUUGACCAUGUUUUGUGAUUUGGACAACAACUAUGUUAUUUGCAAAAAAGCAAAGUGAAUUUACAUACAUCUGGAAGGAGUGAAAUCCUGAGAAGUUUCUGGUAAGCAAGGAAAGGUAAAUGGAAGUUAAUUGGACAAGUAUACAUUCUUUACUAAAUUGAAAUGUGUGAAAUAUUUUAUAUGUUAUUGAUUCAGUAUAUUAAAUGUGUUUUGUUUUAUUUGGGGAAGUAUAAAAAAUAUAAAUGCUUUUAAAGACUCAGUUUUAAUCAUUAUCACAUAAACCUAUUUUCCCCACAAACUUUUAAAUAAUGUAGACUCCUUCUCCUCUAGUUGACAAAGGCAACUGUCCCUUGGUAAAGGCCACGCUUUGCAGGUUCUCAGAGUUGUUGAUGCUGUUGGGGUCUGAGUCACCAUCAAGCUAUGAUCUGUGUUGCGGUGGGGCAGAGUGUGGACGCUCCUGCUCUUACCACUAUGGAGAUCUAGUAGUUUUGUUCCCAGGAUGGAUAGUUGGCCUUAUUUGGGACCUGCUUCCUGAGGAGGUUCCAACAGUUAAUAUACUGUGGAAAAAUCUGAAAUAUCUUAGAAAAGAGAGUAAUUUUGCCAAGGCUAAAGGUGCCUUUUUCAGUUUAGCUCUAAAAACAAACAUAUACUUAACAUCAUGGACUAUCAAAUGGAACUGUGUUUGAAUCCUAGAAGUCUGAUCUACACCUAUAUGAGCUUAGUAGCUCCAGAAUCCAGUAUAAUGCCUACAGUAGAACCAGU